CCCCAUGGUCUCCGAUGAGGACAUCCGAAUUGGAGUAAAGCUUCGCGGACAUGGAUGGGGAUGCGUCUGAUUAGGUAGUAGGCGGGGUAACGGCCCACCUAGCCUACGAUCAGUAGGGGGUCUGAGAGGAAGGUCCCCCACAUUGGAAGUGAGACACGGUCCAAACUCCUACGGGAGGCAGCAGUGAGGAAUAUUGGUCAAUGGACGCGAGUGUGAACCAGCCAAGUAGCGUGCAGGAUGACGGCCCUAUGGGUUGUAAACUGCUUUUGCGCGGGGAUAACACCCUCCACGUGCUGGAGGUCUGCAGGUACCGCGCGAAUAAGGACCGGCUAAUUCCGUGCCAGCAGCCGCGGUAAUACGGAAGGUCCGGGCGUUAUCCGGAUUUAUUGGGUUUAAAGGGAGCGUAGGCCGUGAGGUAAGCGUGUUGUGAAAUGUAGGCGCCCAACGUCUGCACUGCAGCGCGAACUGCCCCACUUGAGUGCGCGCAACGCCGGCGGAACUCGUCGUGUAGCGGUGAAAUGCUUAGAUAUGACGAAGAACCCCGAUUGCGAAGGCAGCUGGCGGGAGCGUAACUGACGCUGAAGCUCGAAAGCGCGGGUAUCGAACAGGAUUAGAUACCCUGGUAGUCCGCGCGG
rnacentral:rRNA from 1 species